AGGGUGGUAGCUCAGUGGCUGAGCAUCUGUUUUGCACUCAGAAGGUCUCAGGUUCAAUCCCCGGCUUCCCUA